CAAGUUCGAAGCGGACAGAUGGGAGCUUGCUCCCUGAUGUUAGCGGCGGACGGGUGACCAAAGGCCGGGUAACCUGCCUGUAAGACUGGGAUAACUCCGGGAAACCGGGGCUAAUACCGGAUGCUUGUUUGAACCGCAUGGUUCAAACAUAAAAGGUGGCUUCGGCUACCACUUACAGAUGGACCCGCGGCGCAUUAGCUAGUUGGUGAGGUAACGGCUCACCAAGGCAACGAUGCGUAGCCGACCUGAGAGGGUGAUCGGCCACACUGGGACUGAGACACGGCCCAGACUCCUACGGGAGGCAGCAGUAGGGAAUCUUCCGCAAUGGACGAAAGUCUGACGGAGCAACGCCGCGUGAGUGAUGAAGGUUUUCGGAUCGUAAAGCUCUGUUGUUAGGGAAGAACAAGUACCGUUCGAAUAGGGCGGUACCUUGACGGUACCUAACCAGAAAGCCACGGCUAACUACGUGCCAGCAGCCGCGGUAAUACGUAGGUGGCAAGCGUUGUCCGGAAUUAUUGGGCGUAAAGGGCUCGCAGGCGGUUCCUUAAGUCUGAUGUGAAAGCCCCCGGCUCAACCGGGGAGGGUCAUUGGAAACUGGGGAACUUGAGUGCAGAAGAGGAGAGUGGAAUUCCACGUGUAGCGGUGAAAUGCGUAGAGAUGUGGAGGAACACCAGUGGCGAAGGCGACUCUCUGGUCUGUAA
rnacentral:rRNA from 1 species